rnacentral:rRNA from 1 species
UCUGUGAUGCCCUUAGAUGUUCUGGGCCGCACGCGUGCUACACUGAGUGGAUCAGCGGGUCAGGUUGUACGAGAGUAUAUCCUAAUCUUUAAAUCCGCUCGUGAUGGGGAUUGACGGUUGCAAUUUUCCGUCAUGAACGAGGAAUACCUUGUAAGCGUGGGUCAUCAUCCCGCGCUGAAUACGUCCCUGCCCUUUGUACACACCGC